GCGGGUAUGGUGGAAUUGGCAGACACGCAAGAUUUAGGAUCUUGUGCCUUCGGCGUGCAGGUUCGACCCCUGUUACCCGCACCA
rnacentral:tRNA from 1 species